UACAGAGGUCUCAAGCGUUGUUCGGAUUCAUUGGGCGUAAAGGGUGCGUAGGUGGCGCCGUAAGUCGGGUGUGAAAUUUCGGAGCUUAACUCCGAAACUGCAUUCGAUACUGCGGUGCUUGAGGACUGGAGAGGAGACUGGAAUUCAUGGUGUAGCAGUGAAAUGCGUAGAGAUCAUGAGGAAGACCAGUGGCGAAGGCGGGUCUCUGGACAGUUCCUGACACUGAGGAGCGAAAGUGUGGGGAGCGAACAGG
rnacentral:rRNA from 1 species